rnacentral:rRNA from 1 species
AGUGAACGCUGGCGGUAGGCCUAACACAUGCAAGUCGAACGGCAGCACAGUAAGAGCUUGCUCUUACGGGUGGCGAGUGGCGGACGGGUGAGGAAUACAUCGGAAUCUACUUUUUCGUGGGGGAUAACGUAGGGAAACUUACGCUAAUACCGCAUACGACCUACGGGUGAAAGCAGGGGAUCUUCGGACCUUGCGCGAUUGGAUGAGCCGAUGUUGGAUUAGCUAGUUGGCGGGGUAAAGGCCCACCAAGGCGACGAUCCGUAGCUGGUCUGAGAGGAUGGUCAGCCACACUGGAACUGAGACACGGUCCAGGCUCCUACGGGAGGCAGCAGUGGGGAAUAGUGGACAAUGGGCGCAAGCCGGAUCCAGCCAUACCGCGUGGGUGAAGAAGGCCUUCGGGUUGUAAAGCCCUUUUGUUGGGAAAGAAAAGCAGCAGGUUAAUACCCCGCUGUUCUGACGGUACCCAAAGAAUAAGCACCGGCUAACUUCGUG